UUUGCAUGUCAUUCGGACAGAUACAUAAGGGCAUUGAGGUAGAACAGAAGAAAAACAGGAUGCAGAAUAUAAUGUUGCAGUUGCAGAGAAAGUGCAAUGCAGAUAGACAAACAAAACAGCAAGUGCCACAACAACAUAGACUGUGAGAUCAAGAUUUCAAGAGUUCACUCAAGAGACACAGGUAGGGUCGAGCAAUUUAAAAUACAGCAUUUGUGGGCUUUCAGCUUUCUCUGGUGACUCAAUCGUACCACAAUUCAUCAGUUAGGGCAAAGAAAAAUAAGGUAGGGACAAGUGGAGCAGCCAUUGUUGGAGUGGGCCGUGGUAGAGUGGGGCAUCUUAGCAGAUUUUGGUGAGGUAGCAUCCUGGUAACUGUCAUUGGGACUGCAGGAAAAUGUAAGCGGCUCACUGGCGGCUGGAUGGUCAUCUCCUCAAGUGAGAAUCCUUGGACACAGUGCAAUGCUGCAUGAAGCUCCAUGGGCCUACAAGAUGUAACAAAGUGGGUUGCAAACAACACACACAAAGUGCUGGAGGAACUCAGCAGGGUGCUUUUGAAGACCCUGACCUGCAGUUACAUGCUGAAUUUGGUUCUUUGUGGGAAUGGGACCCGCUCUCGUGGUGUCACCUCUGGCUGUUAUCCGACAUGCCAAAGGGAUGGUGUAAGAGUUCGGCUCGCCUUUGGAGGCCUAGGAGCUCGGGGCUCUGGAGACAGGCAGAUCAAAUGUCGGUGGCCUGGACCGGUGUGUUGCGGGAGCUGGAAGGUCUUUAGUUGUGUGCCCAGAGACCUAAGAUCUUUGGGCAUGGAGUUCGGAAAAAGUGACACCACGGAAUCCAAUGCAAGCGGAAUCCUUCAGAAGAAAGUCCGUUCAAAUAUUGUCAUUUUAGUACAUCCGUCAUUACAGAUCCCAGCCAUUUGGGGCAUGCCAUCUUCUAGCAGCUACAAUUGGACAGAAGGUACAGAAGCCUGAAAUCCAACCCCAGCGGGUUCAAAACCAGUUACUCCCCUUCAACAAUCUGAAGCAACUGAUACAAUCACUGAAGUUUAGCAAUGCUGUGACCACUUUGCAUUUUGUGCUAAUUGUGUUCUUCACUGUAAAAGCUGUGUUUAAUUUAUCGUAUGUUUCUCUUGUGAAUGCUCCCAUGUGCCUGUGAUGCUGCUGGAAGCAGGUUUUUCAUUGCACAUGUGCAUAUAUAUACUUUUGCAUGUACCAAUAAACUCAACUUUGACCUUGAGAAAGUGCUGGUGAGUGGCCUUCCUGAACACUUGCAGUUCUUCUGGUGAAGAUCCCCCCAGACCCCCCCACAGUACUGCAGUACAGGGACUGAACCAUCGCCUGUCAAAGUCCAACCCUACGUCCCCGCCAUGAGAGGUGGAAACAGGUAAGUCUGGCUACCAGGGCUCUGGUGAAGCUGUAUAGGCCAACCCCUUGUAUGGUGGAUUCAGUGGAGUGCAGAAGCAUUGAUGAACUCCAACCAUACCAUCAACUUCAGAGGACGAUAGUGAUGGGAGGUCAUUAAUGGCCUAUGUUCCACUGAGAGCUAAGGGCCCAAGUUAGUAAGUAAGUAAGAAGAGAGUUAUCAAUUUAGUUACUGGAAGUCUAGACAAAAAUGUAGAGAGCCAAGUUCAAAUUACACUUUAGCAGCUAAUGGAACUUAAACUCCUGAUAAUAAAAUUGCAGGCAAAAAAAAAACAGCCAAUGUCCUUCAGAAAAGGAAAUUUUCCAUCCUUACACAGUCUGGAGUAGAUGGCGUAGUCAUGAGUUUGACUGUAAGCUGCCCUCUGAUAUGGCCUUGCAUUCAUUUAUAUAAAACCACUAAAGAUUUAUUUGAUUGAACUUAAAUUACCCCGCUGAUUUGAACUCACAGGUCUAGGUCUAUUCAUUAAUGGCUCUGCUGUACCUUGAAAUAUCAUCUUUAGCUUAGUCACCACUGUUUUCUAUUCACUUCUGCUAUCUGUACUCGCUAUCUCUUGCCGUGCAGUGCCUUAAGCCAGCAUACUAAACUCUUGUUUUGGAAGUGUGUAGUAAAGGAAGUACUUUCACAUGUGUUUUGUAUUUACUGCUCAGCCCCACUUGUGAUCUUAAUGCCCUACUGAGCUGAAAUGUGAUUCCUUCAACAGUCCGUAUCCAGGCAGUCAAACAAUAGCACAACAUGAUGUAUCCUUUGUCUCAGUGUGAGGGGAUAAGUGACUAAUACAUAUUACUGGAGACUGAGUACCCCAAUCAUUUCAGUUCACAAUUGACACUUGUUAAGCAGCUCAUUAACUGCUUGGGAAGGGUGAAAUUGAGAGCAUGGAGACCACUUUCCCGCAGGGUGCAUUAACAGCCUUGGGGAAUGAGAAAUAUGGAAGCACUCACCAGUAACGAUUGACAUGUGGGAAAAGCUCUGAACCAUUUUCCAUCGCUAACAGCAACCAUACCCGAGGGACUCAAGGAAAUGAUGAGGACACCAAACAGUGCUAUCAGUGCCCUUUGUAUCGUCAUAUAUGAAAUUACCAGUGGUGCAGUAUCUGGUUACUUUGGGACCUUUGUUCAAUUUCGGCAGUGGCUUGCUAAGGGUGGCUAUGAUGAGGUAUUUUCUCAUUUCGAAUGGUAUUAAAUUGUCAGUCAGUUCUUUUGAACUUAUAGGUGAAAUACAGAAAAACAUGUGUCACUCUGAUGAACAUCCAGACAAAUCAAUUCUGCAGCAACAUCUCAAUGUUGCCACCUGCUUUGGCUUCUUCGACUAAACUUCGCAGGCUUGUGUCCUCUAGAAUUAGGGUAGUAGGCGGACACUCACGGAUCCCCUUCAGUUCAUUUUGACAUAAAAAUCCAUUGGCAUAUCCUUUAAAAAAUUUAGGAUAAUUUUGUUACCUCCCUCAAAGCAAGCAUUGUCCGAAUGUAAGGGAACUUUAAUGAUUAUAAAGCAUAGAAACACGCCUUUCGACCCAUCGAGUCCAUUCUGACCAUCAAGCACUCAUUUACACUAAUCCCAUUCUCAUCGAUCCCUCCCUAGAUUUUACUGCUCUCCUGCACACUCAGAGCAAUUUGCAGCUGCAAAGUAACCUGCAGACCGGCGCGUCUUUGGGAUGUUCUGGGGAGGCUGGAGCACCCAGAAGAAACCCUUGUGGCCACAGGGAGAACAUGCAAACUCCACACAAACAGCACCCGAAGUCAGGGUUGUAAGGCAGCAGAUGUCUAUCAGUUCCAGAAUGCGUGAUGACACUUGCUCGCAGCAUACCCUUAGGUUGUGCUGGUUGUUAAUGCAAACAACACAUUUCACUGUAUGUUUUGAUGUGCAUGUGAUACAUAAAAGAAUCUAAAUCUGAACUGUUCCACUGUAUAAUUGCAGAUUAUGUGAAACUCUCCAGCAGACCUAUUGGAAAGAUAUUGACAUUGGGUGAAAUUGACUUUGGAAAGUUAGGAAUGCCAUUGCCAUUGGGUAAGGACUUAACCAUUCUUCCUGAAAUGCAGACUGGAGGAAUGACAUCAUCGUGCUUAGCCUGUAGGUUACAGCUUUCUUAAAAGCACCUUAUAAAUUAUAGAGCACAGAGGUGACGGGAAGAUGUCUGAAAUUUCAUGUUCCCAUCUCCUAUAUAUUUUAUGAGCUAAAAUGUUGUGGAAAUGUGCACAGCACAGUUAAAAGCAUAACCACCCAGACUGAUUGAAUUUUGCUCAGUUAGGUACAAAGGAACAAAGGAAAAAAUAUCUCUUGCGAUUAAUUAACAGAUGUAUUUCAAACCAAGUCUUGUACUUUUGACAUGAUAUUAUCAGGGCUAUAAAGUGUGGUAGGCCUGAGGUACGCUUGGAAGAGAAACAAUUGUUCAAAAUGCUUUGGGACUUAGUUGGAAUUGAAAAUAGCAAUGCAAAGACACAGAUAAAAUCUCUUCAAUUUACUGAAAGUAGGAAGUAUCUUAUCAAAUGUAAAAGCAACAUUUAUCAAUCUAGGAAGGGUCAUGUCAGCUUUUACCUCAGAUUGUUACCAGUUUAGGGAAAAACAAUUGAUAAGACCAUAAAAUCAUAAGAUAGGAACAGUGAAGGAUAAUAUUCGGAAAAAUGGAUAAUAUUGGGAAAAAUGAAUAUUUUGUUGAAUUGUUGUUUUACUUGUAGUUUAACUUUCUUAUGCUUGUUUAUAUUGUUAUGCAGUAUAAUCACUUAUAUACACGUGAUUGUUCAGUGAGUCUUCCAGUGGUUAGUUGCCUCCGUGUCUUCCUGGAAAAUUCUUAGUUUCGGUGGCAGGUGUCUUAUAACUUGAAUCUAGCUAUUUAAUUGGUUAACUGUUAUCUUUUGGUAUUUCAGUGGAAUUUACUGUUAUCAGUGGCCUGGUAUAAGAAGACCAGACCACCUUUGUCUGCUUUCUUUAUUCUCUCUUUCCCCGUGCCUCUUCUCCAUUUGUCUUCCUUGUUCUUGUAACACUCAAUAAAAUGAUCAUAAGCAACAAGUUUUAUGCCUCAUCUUUAACUUCCAAAGAAAAUUUGGAUUCCAAAGGCAGAAGGAUCCAACGUUAUCUCUUCAGGGAUGGUUUAUACCUGCAGUAAGAAUUCAAAUGUGGUAGACCAAUAGUUAAUGAUGGAGAAGCAGAUGUUUGAUU